CCUACGGGUGGCUGCAGUCGAGAAUCUUCGGCAAUGGGGGAAACCCUGACCGAGCGACGCCGCGUGCGGGAUGAAGGCCUUCGGGUUGUAAACCGCUGUCGUAGAGGAGGAAAUGCAGGGGGGUUCUCCCCUCUGUUUGACCUAGUCUAGGAGGAAGGACGGGCUAAGUUCGUGCCAGCAGCCGCGGUAAGACGAACCGUCCAAACGUUACUCGGAAUUACUGGGCUUAAAGGGUGCGUAGGCUGCGCAGAAAGUUGGGUGUGAAAUCCCUCGGC
rnacentral:rRNA from 1 species